UCUGCCUCCUGCCGGCUGGGAUCUUGCCCAGUUGUGCCUAUUCAUUUUUUUUUUUUUUUGAGUGAACAAAACUCUUGGGUUUGAUCUCAUAUUCUGGAAUCCUGAGUUGUGCCUACUCCACUUUUCGUUUUUUGGGAGUAGUAUGUUUAAUAAACAAAGUUUUAAAUUUACUAAAGGUUGGUAUUGGCUUUCAAAAACGAACAGGGAAGCCCCAGCAUCAUCCAUCACCACACUUUUAACUUGAAAAGAACAAGAUUAGAAGGAACAGCACAGGAAGGAGUGACAUCACUGCCACGUGACGAGUCUUUGAAACAAUCAUGGCAGCUCCAUGGGAAUCUGUCUGUGUUUAUCUCCUGCUGCCAUGGUAGGCCAAGGUCACUGUAGGCCAAGGUCUGGUCGUUGUGAGUGUCCCCUCAGCUGCUGAGUGUCCUGCAGGAAGCUGGGCAUGAUCCAGAGUGAGUGACGUCAGCAGUCUGGAACAUGUGUGCCCAACUCCUGAUGCUGUGGGUUCCUGGUGACCAUUUGCCUGGGCAAGGGGUGCCAAGUCCAACACAAACCACUCAGCCACCAGGAAAGCUGGGGCUGAGCUGCCAAGUGUAUUUUGGAAAGAAGCUAUUUGGAUCACUGAGGAAACACAUUAGUAAAAAAAAAAAAUACUAGAAAUGAUAAUUAAGCAAACAUGUACCAGGGUGCAACUCUAUGAUCUGCCACCACGAGGGGAGCCAUGUCUGCAACAGAGUCCAGAACUCAGCAGACAGAGGUGGGCACAGCCUAGCAGCUGGGUGGUGCUGAACAAGCUACUCUGCCUCUCUGGGGGCCUCAGGGUCUCCAUGGAGCAGGGGCACUGGCUUAUUUUCUGAGUAUCUAUAAGGCUGUGAGGAGGGACGGGGAGCAGAAUGAUGUAGGCGCUAGGAACUGAGGACUCGGUCACCCACAGCCACUGCUGCUAAGAUGCUUGCCACUGCUGCUCCUAAGCUAGGAUUCAGUGCUGCUCAGCAGGCUGGACCCAAUGCUCAGUGAGUUUGGGUUAAGGAAGAAAGCAGUGGAUAAACACUGCAGUCUCUGGGUCCAGUCUCCUGCAGCGAGCCUCAUUUCCCUUUCCCAGGCACCCCCUGUUUCAGAGAGAUAAACAGGCUCCCCGAAGGCUGGAAGCAGUUCUUCUAGCAGCUUCCUCCUCCCUGUUUGUUGCACCCAAGACCAAGUGGCUGUUUUGGAGGGAAGGAUUUGGUCUGGAAUUUUUCCACUGCGUUUCCUCAAUGGACAACGCUCUUUGAUGCUGGAGAGAGGAGGAAUUUAAUAUUUCUAAUUACUUUUUAGGGAGUAGAUUGCUCCUAGAAAAAGAAUUGCAAUUGAUUUUCAUCCAGUUUCCCCCUGGUUCGUACCAUUCUCUGGAGACCCUCGCUGGGCCUUGCAAUAUCGCCAUUCCUUCAAUAUUGAAAAUGUGUGCUGGCUAUUUUUAUUUCUUUUUCUCUUUGGGGAGGAAGGCCCUCCCUCAGGGUGAGUGCUGCAUCUCUGCUGUUUGCAGUCCACCCUGGGCCAGGCACAGCAUCUGACCGCAGCAAGGGUGCUGCAAGCUAACGCAACGAGAAGAAAUGAUUUUCCCUCCGCGUGCUGGCUCCAGUACAGCCCAGAAAUCCCAGCCGGUUCAGGAGGGGAAACCAGCCCAAAGCUGAUUAAUUUUGCAAAACAGACCUUCCAGGGCAGCACACAGGAUCCUCAGAAAGAAUAUUCUGGGUUUCGCUUCCCACUGAGAGCUUUGGGGGCCAUAAUUAGAACAGCGAGGAGCGGCAGCCUCGGCUCCAGUUCACAAACCGCAAGGACCUUCCUUCAGUGCUCCUGUUCCGUGGAAGUGGUACCGAGAGCUCAGAUCGGCAUUGUGUUUUGGGCAGGUUUUAAAAAAACGGUUGCAUUGAGCUACGGUUCUCGUAACACACAAUUCACCCCUUUAAAAGCUACAGAGCUAAAUCUAAGAAUGAACUCAGCAAGAAGACGAACCAUGAAAAAGGAAUGGGAUACAAUUGAAGCUGUGGCUCCGAAGAGACAAGUUACUCCCACAGAUACUUAUGAAACUGAAGCCAUGGUCUGCUCUCUCCACCCCCAGGGACUCAUGAAGGCUCUACGAGACUGCCAUGGACAUCUGGGAUGUUUCACAUGCUCAAAACUGAAUCUUUGAUCACAGUGCUCUAGGAAGGCCACCACAUGCUCCCAUGGUGUACCACCCCAGGCCCAAGCUGUAGAGUCAAGCAAGCAAAAACUCAAACUAUGCAAUAAAAUAAACAUUCCCC
rnacentral:sRNA from 1 species